GGGGAUGCCAGGCAUCGACGGUUGGUCGGCGUUCUCGUGUGCAGUGUCGAAAUUGGUCGCUAGUUCGUAAAGAAGCGCCCACGUAUAGAUGCAAACAAAUCUGUACCAAGUCCGUACGCUAACGCGUUUGGAUUCGCACCCGCUGUAGCGUAACCAUUCGCUCGCCGGUGUGAUGCGAAUCACGGUGAUGUCUCAUAUUCGUGAUCUCGUAGAAUAGCCAUGAGACUGUGGAACCUAAGUCCGUUGUGCUUAGUGCCCAAGAUGUAGCAACUCGAUAUGAAACUUUUUUGUCUUACCUUUUUGUUUCAUAUUUAAAUCAUAGGUAAGUCUACGCACUGUAGACUCACGAGGAACCAUCAAUUCGGACGCGGGAUCGAACCCGCCAUCUCCACAU
rnacentral:tmRNA from 1 species